ACCAUCGUGAAGGAACUUAACAUUCCAAACGUCGGCAACAUCGACACCACGGGGGUCAACCGUAAGCUUUUGUCGGCUGAGGAUAUGCCUGAGUGGAUUAGUCAAGCUGACCGAAAACUCCUUCAAGCAAAACCAAUGGAUUUGAAACCUAACGUUGUGGUUGCUAAAGAUGGUAGCGGGAAAUAUGAUACUAUUAACAAGGCAUUGGCUGAAGUCCCUGUGAAAAGUCCCGAUCGAUUUGUUAUUCACAUUAAGGCUGGUACUUACAAGGAGCAAAUCAACUUGACCAAGAAGAUGACUAAUGUUGUAUUCAUUGGUGAUGGCCCAACCAAGACCAUUAUCACAAAUGACAUUAGCGUCGCUAAGAAUCCACCGGUUAGAACAUACCGCACUGCAACUGUUGGUAAGUAGUAUUAUAUACAUAUAUAAGUUUUGGUGGUGAAGUGUGGUGGCUAACUAGUAUAUAUGUAUGCAUGUUUGUGAAAUAUUUUAGCUGCGGAUGGGGCUGGUUUCAUGGCCAAGGACAUUGGAUUCGAUAACUCAGCAGGACCCGAAGGUCAUCAAGCAGUUGCCUUUAGGGCUACUGCUGAUAGGGUCAUCAUGUUCAACUGCCAUUUCACUGGGGUACCAAGACACUCUUUACGCUCACAGAGAGAGACAAUUAUAUAGCAACUGUCUCAUCACCGGAACGGUGGAUUUCAUCUUCGGGGAUGCGGCGAGCAUUUUCCAGAACUGUAUGCUCGUCGUGAGGAAGCCAGGGCCAGGCCAAAACUGCAUGGUUACUGCACAAGGAAGGAAUGAUCUUGGAACAAACUCAGCCAUUGUGCUUCAAAACUGCACCAUCUCGGGGGCCCCUGAUUACAUCCCAGUGAAGGAUAAGAACAAGGCGUACUUGGGGCGUCCUUGGAAACAAUUCGCUAGGUCCAUCAUAAUGCAAUCUAGGAUCGACGACAUCAUUCAACCAGAGGGUUAUGCCCCCAUGACAGGCACCAUAGGAAUAGACACUUCUUUCAUUGCCGAGUUUGGAAACAGGGGACCCGGUGCCGAUACCAGCCGUAGGGUAGCAUGGAAAGGUAUCAAAAAGAUAGAUAUAAAUGAAGCCAACAAAUGGACUCCUCGCAUCUUUCUCGAAUCCGAGACUUGGAUUCCGAGUUCCAGCGUUCCCUAUAGUCCCGACAUGGUCCCUGGAGUCUAAGCAGCUUAUUAUCAAUACCAACGCCAUUAGUUUGCUUAUUAUCAUAUCAUUGUUGUAAUUAUGUCGUUUUUUACUAAUUAAUUAAACUGUUUUUUUUAUCUUUUAUCUAUCUAUGUAUAUAUAUUGAAUUCUUUGGUUUCCUAAUUGUUGUUUCCAUUCACUUAUUAAUGAUGUUUGCAAAACCCAAAAAUUAAGUCAACGUUUAAAUAUUAUUGAACUUAAUUUAAUAUAAUUUUUUUAAAGAUUAUUUGGAUUGAUAAUGUUGUUUCCCUAAUGUAGAUACAUUCUUUAAAUAGAUUUAAUAAAAUUAUUAUUAUCAAACUUAAUUGCAAGAUUUAAUAAAAAAAUAGUUUAUUUAUAAUAAUUACUAAUAUAAUAUUAAAAAUUAAUAAAAACAAUUAUAUUAUAAAAAAUCAAUCUUAUUUUUUAUUUUUUUAUAUGGACUUAAGCAAGCAUCCCACUCGUGGAAUCAAAGAUUUGAUCAAGCGGUAAAGAUUUUUGAAUUUGAGCAGAACAGAGAAGAACAUUGUGUUUAUAAACAUUUAGGGGAUGAAAAGGUGGUAUUUCUCUUUCUACAUGUCGGGUGAAAUUCUACUAGUUGAGAAUGAUGUAGGGAUAUUGUCAUCGUUUAAACUAUGGUUAACCUAACAAUUUAAGAUGAAGGACCUGUGAGAAGCUAAUUUUGUUCUGGGUAUUCGAAAGAACAAAGUGAUAGCACUAUCGCAAGAUUCAUACAUAGACAAGAUAUUGUAGCGCUAUGUUAUAAGUGAUUUGAAGAAGGGUAAUCAAUCUUCUAAUAUCGAGAAUUCACCUUUCUUUGGAGGAUUGUCUUAAGACACUGGAAGAAAAUGAGAACAUCAGAAAGAUUCAUUAUGCUUCAACAAUAGGAAGUCUCAUGUAUGCUAUGUUGUGCAUGCAACCAAAUAUCUAUUUUGCAGUAGGUUUGGUGAGUCGAUAUCAGGUGAAUCCAAGACUAAGACGCUGACAAACAAUUAGUACAAUUAAUAAUGAUCAAUGAAUAGAAAAUGUUAGGUUUUUUUGUCGGACUCGUCCGUCAGCUUAGUUAAGAUGCAUUGAUGGGCUCCUUGUAGUUCAUUUCUAUCUGUAUUAGUCCAACACCCAUCAUGUCAUUCUAUCUAUCUUGGAUUGUUUCUUUCUCUGAAUUUACCUUUUCAGCUUGCUUUAAUGACCGACAACUUUUCUGUAGGUCACAACGAUUGAUGAUUUGCAACGCCACAUGAUUACACAACCACCGUAGCCUGCACUUAGCAUUUUUGCCUCGUAAUAAGGGUGCAAAGUAUGGUUUAAACUUGUCACUUAUCAUGUCUCUGCUUGUGUCAUUGCUCCAAAGUGGCUUUUCAGAUAUACUUAAGGUAAUGGUUGGCACGGGUGUUGCUGAAUGAAUUAGCUAGUGAAUUUGUACUAAACUUCCUAAAUCUCAGAUCUACAAAUUUUUAAGUUAUUCUAUUUUUGGUUUACUAUAUUGCUUCAUUCGUUGACGACAUGUCUCUUGCAAUGUCAGUGCACUCCGUGAUGCUUAUCGCUCAUCUAUACUUAUUUACUGCCCAACUUGAUUGAGUCUGGCUAUAUGAGCAUAGGUUCUAUCUAUAUAUAUUUUUCCAAUUUUGUUCAACAUCCGAAAAAUUCCUAGGCCUUCAAAUCUCCAAGGUUCAUGGUUAAGGUCUAAAGGUAUGCAAUGGCUAAUCAAUUUAAGUUUAUCAACUAUGUCUAUUAAUUUUUUUCUAUUUUGCCUUGAAAAUUCAUGUAUCAACAGACACUCUUCUACUAGCUCGACCUUAAUUACCAAUGUUUCUAUUGGUUGAUCUGCAUUAUGCUACUAUUAUAUUUCAGCUUUGUUGGUAGAAUCAAAGGGUUUUAGGACAAUGAGUUUCAUGAUGGUCUAAUUCUUUGGCUUGCUAGCCAUUUUCCCCACUAGCUCUAUAUCUUCCCCUUCUGCAGUGGUGUUUAACUCGUCUGGAUACUAUUUUGUCUGCUGAGAUGACUAAUAGUCUAGGAUUUCUACUUCUUCACAAGCGUCUAUAAUUUCAUUCUCUUCUUUGCUCAACUCCGGACUUAGCACAUCAUGGUACCUUUUUGAUGGUAUAUCAUUGUGGUUGUUAUUAUCUUUGGAAAGAUCUUCAUACAACCCUUCUUCAUAAGUAUUUUGAUCAUAAUCAAAGUCCUCGUCAGACCACAUAUAAUAGAAAUCAUUCGUGACUUUGUGCUGACUGAUUAUUUUGUGCCUAGGAUUCCUAAGAAUAAACAAAUGUUAAAAAUUUUAAUUAACAAAAUAAUUUGAAAGUUGUAACUAUAAACCACAAAUUUCCUAAUUAUUCUUUUAAAAUGAAAAAAAUCAAAAUCAAUCUAGUGACGUUACCUCCCCGACAAUGGCGCCAACAACUUGACCACCUUCGGACGUACUAACGCCCAACGUGUGAAUACUGCAAUAAAAUGGAUAAUUACGAGAUGGUAUCCAUAAGUGUAUAGGUCGAGUUGUAAUAUAGUUUUUACAAAGAAGUAGGUGAGUACUCCGAGGAUCGUACCUAGGGGAAGCAAGUGUUAGAUUAAUUCUAACCUAAACAUUAAAAGAUCUAAUUAGUACUUUAAAUAAAUUAUACUACGAAAGUAUAUAAAAAGGGUUUUUAAAGGUUUUUAAUAAUAAUAAAAUCAAAUAACAUAAAAGAAAUAAAACUAAAUAGAUAGAAGAGUAGAGUAAAUUAAAUCUUGAUUAUGGGUGAUUAGCUCGCUUUAGUAAUCCUCAUCAACUGUCACUUCGGGUUCCUUGUCAAUCAACUAGUCACUACCCUAGCAGGAUCUUCUGAUCUUCCACUAACAUAACAAGUCAGCAAGAACUACUUAUCUUCUGACCUCACAGUUCAAACUGGUUUGGGGUAAAGGUGUUCACGAAUGGGAAGUGCCAAUUUUGGAUUAAUUCCCACUUAGAUGACUUUUCGGGGUUGCCAAACCUAGGUUUUUUUUUUAUGUUCUUCCUUUUCCAAAUAGUUGAUCCCUUGAGUAAUCCUACAAAAUAGUUAAUAGAUCGUACAUCCACUCGCUAAUCCCCCAUACAAGGACUAGUUCCUCAUAGCUUUCAUAGACAAUAUAAAAUAAAUAUAAAGAGAAAACAUGCUAAUUAAAACGACAAGAUAAAGUAAAUGAAAAAGUCUGGUUGUAUUGAUGUUAAUUGUGAAUCCCCAAUGUUUGAAUGCUUCCACAAUUCAUAUUUCUUGAAAUCAACAAGAACAACUAAAAGAAAUCUAAAACCUAAUAACGAAAGAAAUUUAAACUGAAUUUUACAAAGAGAACUUAGGCUAAAGGAUUGAUGUCCAUAACAAGUGACAAAUGAGUCUAUUUAUAGCCUUCAGGUGGCCAUCGUCCUUAACCCUAGGUUAGCCGACGUUUCUAAACUUGAAAGUUUGAUUGUGCAGACCAAAAUGCUCUUACUUUGUGUUUUGAUUUCAUCACAGAGUCAAUGUUGUGACACACCAGGAACUGUGUUGCGACAUAGCAACCAGUAUACUCCUCUGCAACUAUCUUUAGUCUGUGCCUCGACACCCUCAGUCUGUGUCACGGAAUUGAUGGUAGUCUUGAACUUUCUUCAUUCUGCUCAUUAUGUUGCGACAUCAAGCAUCGCAUGUUGCAACAUAGUGACCAGUAUCAGUUUAGUAUGCCUUCUAAAAGUCUCCUACACACUCACCAAGUGCGUUAGCUCUCCUUUAGGCCUUAUUCAACCCAUAAGGCUAAUAAAAGACUCAAUUUGCACAUUUUAUUAAAUGUAAAUAAAACUAAGAAAACUUAACUAAAACAUAACGAAAGUGCUUGUAUUCAAACUCUUCAAAUACGAAAACUAGUUUGAUAUGCUACACCGAAUUAUGGUAGAUCAGUUAUGUAUGCAAAAUAUAAAAGACAUAAUAGUGAGAUGUGAAAUUAACUUUAUUUAUUUAUUCAUCAUUCAAAUAAAUAGAAAAUAAUUACAUGUUCACCACAAUAUGGGCACAUUUCCCAACACUCUACUCGUCGGGAACGGCAAGACAUUCGCGUUGUCAGGAAGAGCUUUCGUUUCUCAUUCGGACAAGACUAUCUGUUUAGGCCGAAUAGAGGCAUUCUCCCACAUAUUUGAUGAAACAAUUUAAAUUUAAAUUUAUUUUGUUAUGGUUUUUGGGACUAUAAUAUUUUUUAAUUUUGGGUUAUGGCAUGUGUUCUUUUUAAGUUCGGAUUUUUGCAUGCAUUCAAUUUCAUUAAAUUGAACAAACCAAAUUAAUCUUCUUAACAUCAUAUAAAAUAUGGUUUAGAGUAAAAAAUGAUGGUUUCACCUAAACAAAAAUCAACUAAGUUUACCCAAAAAUGUCACAACACAUAUUAAAUUUGGACUUUUAAGUUUAACUCAAUGUAAAAUCUUAUGUUUUUGAUAAAUAUAUGACUACUACCUAAUUUUUCUAAAAAUCGGAAAAAUAAAAGUUACGAUAACUAAACAGUUCUACUAGACCAUUUUGGUGGCCAAUGUAGCUUUCAAGAUCAAUUAUAAUGCCUGGUUUGGGUCUAGGGAAGUUACAGUUACGGCUGAAAAUUUCAAGCAAUUGGAAAAAGAUGGAGUUGAACAGGUGCUCACGAGAGAAGAUGGCUAGAGACAAUUAAUGCUAACGGCGGGGAAUUGGAAAAAAUUACUAUUGACAAGCAAGUUUUGUCGGAUGUGAGUGAAUAUGUUGAAUUAUGGGGUGGUGAUGGUAGAAAGUCAAAUAUUGAAGGUGACAUGAAAGGGGUGACGUUGCUUAGUACUGAUAACAUAGGUGUAAACGAGACAAUUGAAGUGGGAGUAAAUAACUGGGGCAAGGAAAGUAAGUGUUGGCAAGUCCAAUUUCAAGAUGGAUCGGACACUAGCGUUGGGCUAUUUAGAUGGGAAUAAGGUUACGUUGAAAUAGCUGAGGUGAUGGGUGGAGAUAAUAUAACUGCAGGCAAGGAAUUGGUUGAAAUUACGAAGAGGAAAUUGAAUAGGAGUAUAUAGCCAAAGGAGACAGUAAAGUUUUUUUAGUUACGAGUUUAAGCCUCCACCAAAAAUUCAAUUACAUUAUUUAACGUUGAUCUGAUAACAAAAUGUCCUGCACCAAUUGCGCAAUCUCUAGCCCCUUUAGACAUCACCACAUCUACCGCCUUGUUCGUCAUCCUUGAAGGAGGCAACAAACUUAUUUAAUAAUAUGAUUUGAAUUAAAUAUAUGUUUAAUAUUACUGUACCGCAUUAUUUUACAUCAUAAUAUUAUGAUUAUAAUAAUUAUUAUUUCAAUUUCUACUCAUGCACAGGUUUGCUUUAACAAUAAAGAAUCCAUAUUAAUAGUCAAAAUUUAAACAUAUUAAAUAAAAAUAAAUAAUAAUGCAUUUUUUAAUAUUAUUUUUUAAAAUUAUUUUUAAAUCAUUUUAAAUAAUAACAAUUUAAUUAAAUAUAAAUUUGAGAAUAAAUAUAUACAUUAUUUUAUUAUAUUAUUUAUGAUAUGAUAUGAUAUGAUUUCUUACAAAUGUUUCGAACAACAUUAGUUACCAUUUAAUCCACAAAGCUUUAAUUUAUAAGUGUCAAAGAAAAAUCCUAAAACACCAAAGUUAAUUUUUCGUGGAAUGUGAAAAGAUUUUAAAAAACUAAUAUUUAAUUUACAAUUUAGCAUUUAAAUUAAAUUUAUAUAUUAAUUAUUUCGAUACUUACAAUAUCAAUUUAUUUCAAAAAUAUUUUACUCAAACAUAUAUAAAAUAAGAAAUAGAAGAUUAAAACACCAUAGUUUUAUAGAGCCAUUAAUAUCCAUAAAAUUUAAACAAAUUCUCACAUCCGUAGGGCCCUCUCCACCAUGAAACAUUUUAAACUAAAUGUGGACAUUUUUUCGGUUUUAACUAAUUCAUUUUUUAAUAUAAAUAUGGAACUUCAAUAGCAUAUUAUUCAAGCUUCUGCUCAAGGGGCCAUAAGUGAUAAACAAUAAGAAGCCCCACAACUUCAAAUAAGGUUUUCUUCUUUCUUGCUUUCUUUUCUUCAGGGGGAAAGAAAGAGAGAAGAAGAUACUUUUUUUGAAACAAAAAAAAGUUGUUUAAAAAUGGCGAAUAAUGCUAUUAUUGGUAUUUGUGCGGUGUUCUUGGUGGCCUUGGUGGUAGCCGUGGUGGUGGGUGUUACGCACAUAAAAAAUAAGAGCGAUGGUGAAGAGAUAUCGAGUUCGAACAAAGCUGUGCAAGCCCUAUGUCAACCCACGAAUUAUAAAGAGACGUGCCAGAAAAGCUUGGCGUCAUCAAAUUCUAGCGACGUUAAGGAGCUGAUAAGGACAGGUUUCCAAGCCGGGCUAGUCGAGAUAAAGAACGUGUUAGCCCAUUCAGUGACGGUCCAAGAGUUGAUCAAGGAUGAGAACAACAAAGCGGCACUUGGUGUCUGCCAAGAGGUGUUGGACUUAGCCAUUGAUGACUUUCAAAAGUCAUUCGACAUGCUAGGGGAAUACGACAUGAGCAAGAUCGGAAAAUACCUUUUGGAACUGAAGACCUGGCUAAGCGGUGCAUUCACGAGUCAACAAACAUGUAUAGACUCAUUCGCGGAAUCAAGUAACGAAUCAUCGCAGAAGAUGCAAUCAAUCUUGAAGACUAGCAUGGAGAUUACUAGCAAUGCUUUAGCCAUGCUUAAUGGGUUAUCCACCAUCGUGAAGGAACUUAACAUUCCAAACGUCGGCAACAUCGACACCACGGGGGUCAACCGUAAGCUUUUGUCGGCUGAGGAUAUGCCUGAGUGGAUUAGUCAAGCUGACCGAAAACUCCUUCAAGCAAAACCAAUGGAUUUGAAACCUAACGUUGUGGUUGCUAAAGAUGGUAGCGGGAAAUAUGAUACUAUUAAUAAGGCAUUGGCUGAAGUCCCCGUGAAAAGUCCCGAUCGAUUUGUUAUUCACAUUAAGGCUGGUACUUACAAGGAGCAAAUCAACGUGACCAAGCAGAUG
rnacentral:lncRNA from 1 species